rnacentral:lncRNA from 1 species
ACCUAUAUUAUUGUUGACCAAAAUAACCCUGUAAUUAAAUGAAAAUAACGGGUUCUUCAACCCAUCAUGUCAACACGAUUUGGUCAGGAGUUAACAUAAUCGGAGCUCAAUACCUACGGGUUCUUGUUCUCCGACGACUGCUGCUACUUCCAGUUGGGUCAAUCCCAAGGGAGGUGAACUCGAAAUACCCGAUAUGAGAUAGAAUAACGAACGUAGAAGAUUCCGGUUGUAAUUUUGAGUUUACAUUUGUCCUAUUUUGUUGUUUUAGUUGUUCAAGGAGGAAGGUAAAGGAUCUAGAAUCGGAGAUUUAGAGUAAUCUAGCUAUUGACGAGAUGAUUAAAUUAAGAUCUGGAACCGUGUGUGUACACGUGUCGUGUGAGUAAUCUAUCGUCAUUUAUUGUGGAGAUGAUUAAUGGCGACGACGGUGUAUGAGCUGAUUAACACGGUUAGUAAUUUAUUAAGAUCCAGCAUUAUCUUCUUGCUCGGUGGUGUACAAAAUCGUUUUCGGGUAAACGGG